rnacentral:rRNA from 1 species
GACGAACGCUGGCGGCGUGCCUAAUACAUGCAAGUCGAGCGGACGAAUCGAAAGCUUGCUUUUGAUUCGUUAGCGGCGGACGGGUGAGUAACACGUGGGCAACCUGCCCUGUAGACGGGGAUAACACCGAGAAAUCGGUGCUAAUACCGGAUAACACGAAAUGUCGCAUGACGUUUCGUUGAAAGACGGCGCACGCUGUCGCUACAGGAUUGGCCCGCGGCGCAUUAGCUUGUUGGUGAGGUAACGGCUCACCAAGGCGACGAUGCGUAGCCGACCUGAGAGGGUGAUCGGCCACACUGGGACUGAGACACGGCCCAGACUCCUACGGGAGGCAGCAGUAAGGAAUCUUCCGCAAUGGACGAAAGUCUGACGGAGCAACGCCGCGUGAGCGAAGAAGGCCUUCGGGUCGUAAAGCUCUGUUGUUAGGGAAGAACAAGUAACGCAGUAACUGGCGUUACCGUGACGGUACCUAACGAGAAAGCCACGGCUAACUACGUG